GGGAGACCUUUUUUCAUCAAAUUGUCAAUAGUGAGAAUCCUUUCCAAUGCAGUCUCGCAAGCGAAAAAAGAGAUUCUGGGAGGGGCGCCAGAUUACCAUAUAAUUUUGGAAGGAAAGUCCCUAGAAACAUUAUUGUUGGGUUGGUUCAAUUGAUGGUAGAAGGAAUUAACAGAAAAUUGGCCAUUCUUUUUCAGUUUCCAGCAGAGCUUGUCCUCUUCAAUAAUAUUUUUAAGAGUUUCUCAAUUUUCUGGGUGUAGAAUGUAAUCAACCCCUUAAAUGUGGUGCUUAAAACUUCUUAAAUGUGAUGUCUAAGAAACAAUAGGUGCAAUCUCUAGGUUUUUUCUCCCCUUAAGUACCUAAUUGCACGAAUAAAUCUUAUUUUUCCUACAUCAAUGAGACACAGACCGAGACAUAAAGUUCAGUCUAGAUUUAUUCUGUUUUUUUCCCCAUCAGUGUAUUGAUAAUUUAGGGGAUAGAAAGGAUUUUUUUGGAGCUUUUAAUGAAAUAUAGUUUGAGACUUAUUGCUGGUUGCACUCUUCAAAUCAGUUUAGUAGCAAAUCUCUACUUGGGUAUACAAGGUUUUACUGGGUAGUUGUGAUUUCUAUUCUCAUCUUACUCCUUAUUUAUUUACUAGAAGAGGUAACUUUAUGGACUUCAAGUCAGCUACCCCUCUAGUCUCUAGUACCAUUUGUAGCAUGCAAUGAGAUGUUAAUUAAAUGAUCUGGGACUUGGGGUGACUUAGACCACCAUAGGACUCGAACACUUCUCCAUGAGCAUGGGGAGGGUUCCCUGACCAACAGGGGGAGAUAUUGGCCCCCAUGUUUUGAUUAGUUUAUCAAAUAAUCAGGUGACAACCUUAGCUAGGAUUAAACCCAACUGAAAACG
rnacentral:lncRNA from 1 species